rnacentral:sRNA from 1 species
UCACGAUUAUAAGAGAAAGCAAAUGGC